GUUCGGUCCCUAUCCGUCGUGGGCGCAGGAAAUUUGAGAGGAGCUGUCCUUAGUACGAGAGGACCGGGAUGGACGCACCGCUGGUGUACCAGUUGUCUUGCCAAAGGCAUCGCUGGGUAGCUAUGUGCGGAAGGGAUAAGUGCUGAAAGCAUCUAAGCAUGAAGCCCCCCUCGAGAUGAGAUUUCCCAUAGCGUCAAGCUAGUAAGAUCCCUGAAAGAUGAUCAGGUUGAUAGGUCAGAGGUGGAAGCGUGGCGACAUGUGGAGCUGACUGAUACUAAUCGAUCGAGGACUUAACCA
rnacentral:rRNA from 1 species